GAUGAACGCUGGCGGCGUGCCUAAUACAUGCAAGUCGAGCGAACAGACGAGGAGCUUGCUCCUCUGCCGUUAGCGGCGGACGGGUGAGUAACACGUGGAUAACCUACCUAUAAGACUGGGAUAACUUCGGGAAACCGGAGCUAAUACCGGAUAAUAUAUUGAACCGCAUGGUUCAAUAGUGAAAGACGGUUUUGCUGUCACUUAUAGAUGGAUCCGCGCGGCAUUAGCUAGUGGGUAAGGUAACGGCUUACCAAGGCAACGAUGCGUAGCGGACCUGAGAGGGGGAUCGGCAACACGGGAACGGAGACACGGCCAAGAUGCUAAGGGGAGGAAGAGGGAGGGAUACUGGCGAAAGGGGGGAAAGCCUGACGAAGCAACGCCGGGUGGAUGAGGAAGGUCUCCGGAUCGAAAAACUUUGUGAUUGGGGAAAAAAAAAGGUGAAGUAACUAUGGACGUCUUGACGGUACCUAAACAGAAAGCCACGGCUAACUACGUG
rnacentral:rRNA from 1 species